UACGUAGGGGGCAAGCGUUGUCCGGAAUCAUUGGGCGUAAAGAGCGUGUAGGCGGUUCGGUAAGUCGGCUGUGAAAGUCCAGGGCUCAACCCUGGGAUGCCGGUCGUUACUGCCGGACUAGAGUUCGGAAGAGGCGAGUGGAAUUCCCGGUGUAGCGGUGAAAUGCGCAGAUAUCGGGAGGAACACCUAUGGCGAAGGCAGCUCGCUGGGACGUUACUGACGCUGAGACGCGAAAGCGUGGGGAGCAAACAGG
rnacentral:rRNA from 1 species